GACGAACGCUGGCGGCGUGCCUAAUACAUGCAAGUCGAGCGGCACCUUCGGGUGCAGCGGCGGACGGGUGAGUAACACGUAGGUAACCUGCCUGUAAGACUGGGAUAACCCUCGGAAACGAGAGCUAAGACCGGAUACGCUGUAAGGGAGGCAUCUCCUUUAUGGGAAAAGCGGAGUAAUCUGCUACUUACGGAUGGGCCUGCGGCGCAUUAGCUAGUAGGUGAGGUAGAGGCUCACCUAGGCGACGAUGCGUAGCCGACCUGAGAGGGUGAACGGCCACACUGGGACUGAGACACGGCCCAGACUCCUACGGGUGGCAG
rnacentral:rRNA from 1 species